CAGUCGCCACGGUAAUACAGAGGGUGCAAGCGUUAAUCGGAAUUACUGGGCGUAAAGCGCGCGUAGGUGGUUUGUUAAGUUGGAUGUGAAAUCCCCGGGCUCAACCUGGGAACUGCAUCCAAAACUGGCAAGCUAGAGUAUGGUAGAGGGUGGUGGAAUUUCCUGUGUAGCGGUGAAAUGCGUAGAUAUAGGAAGGAACACCAGUGGCGAAGGCGACCACCUGGACUGAUACUGACACUGAGGUGCGAAAGCGUGGGGAGCAAACAGGAUUAGAGACCCCAGUAGUCCCUGUCUCUUAUAC
rnacentral:rRNA from 1 species